rnacentral:rRNA from 1 species
UACGGGGGGGGCAAGCGUUGUUCGGAAUUACUGGGCGUAAAGGGCUUGUAGGUGGCCAACUAAGUCAGACGUGAAAUCCCUCGGCUUAACCGGGGAACUGCGUCUGAUACUGGAUGGCUGGAGUGUGGGAGAGGGAUGCGGAAUUCUAGGUGUAGCGGUGAAAUGCGUAGAUAUCUGGAGGAACACCGGUGGCGAAGGCGGCAUCCUGGACCAUUACUGACACUGAAAAGCGAAAGCCAGGGGAGCAAACGGG